rnacentral:rRNA from 1 species
GACGAACGCUGGCGGCGUGCCUAAUACAUGCAAGUAGAACGCACAGUUUAUACCGUAGCUUGCUACACCAUAGACUGUGAGUUGCGAACGGGUGAGUAACGCGUAGGUAACCUGCCUGGUAGCGGGGGAUAACUAUUGGAAACGAUAGCUAAUACCGCAUAAUAUUGAUUAUUGCAUGAUAAUUGAUUGAAAGAUGCUAUUGCAUCACUACCAGAUGGACCUGCGUUGUAUUAGCUAGUAGGUGAGGUAACGGCUCACCUAGGCGACGAUACAUAGCCGACCUGAGAGGGUGCUCGGCCACACUGGGACUGAGACACGGCCCAGACUCCUACGGGAGGCAGCAGUAGGGAAUCUUCGGCAAUAGACGAAAGUCUGACCGAGCAACGCCGCGUGAGUGAAGAAGGUUUUCGGAUCGUAAAGCUCUGUUGUAAGAGAAGAACGGGUGUGAGAGUGGAAAGUUCACACUGUGACGGUAUCUUACCAGAAAGGGACGGCUAACUACGUG